CAAAAAAUAGUUUAUAAAAAUUUUAAUCUUGGAAAUUAAAGAUAUAAAAAAUAAUUUUAUUUUUUUGA
rnacentral:tRNA from 1 species